rnacentral:rRNA from 1 species
UAGGGAAUUUUCGGCAAUGGACGGAAGUCUGACCGAGCAACGCCGCGUGAAUGAAGAAGUAUUUCGGUAUGUAAAGUUCUUUUAUUUGGGAAGAAAAAACAAAUUGACGGUACCAAAUGAAUAAGCCCCGGCUAACUACGUGCCAGCAGCCGCGGUAAUACGUAGGGGGCAAGCGUUAUCCGGAAUUAUUGGGCGUAAAGGGUGCGUAGGCGGGUUAUCAAGUCUUUGGUUAAAAUGCGGUGCUCAACGCCGUAUCGCCAAAGAAACUGAUAGUCUAGAGUAUGGUAGAAGUGAGUGGAACUCCAUGUGUAGCGGUAAAAUGCGUAAAUAUAUGGAAGAACACCAGUGGCGAAGGCGGCUCACUAGGCCAAUACUGACGCUGAGACACGAAAGCGUGGGGAGCAAACAGG